GUGAGAGUUAUGAGAAUACUACCACAGUCCUCUCCCGACCAGCCCACCCAGUGGGGAUCAUUUACUAAACUAGGAACUUUGUAGAGUAGUAAGGGGAAGCAGAUUUCAGGACAAAACAGCCAAAAUUAAACCAUUUUCCAACUUUGUUGGCAGCUAUUUCACUCUAUAAAUGUGUCAUUUGUUUGCGCUCUUCAAUUCCCAGAUUAGUGAAAUCUUAAUUUCUCUUAAAAUUACACCACUGAAUAAACUGUUGAACAUCACCCAUAACUGGG